CAGGACCACUAUCCAGACUAGGACACCAUGCUCCUUCAAAUCAAGGCUCGAGGCUGCUACUGUCGCAGAUAGUAGCCCUGCACAACCAGACCUCUCUGUGACAACAGGUCUUAGUGACAUUGCUGUGGAUGUGGACACCUUAAUGCUAGGCUUCCCAUCAGAAUCGCAAGCAUAUCGGAGUCCUCAAGCCUCUCCAAAUGUGUCACAGUCACUUGUAGCACCUGCGCCCACACACAGUAGGUUUGUUUUGCCAGUUACUUAGAACAUUCAUAACAC